rnacentral:rRNA from 1 species
GUAAGGAAUAUUGGACAAUGGGGGCAACCCUGAUCCAGCCAUGCCGCGUGAAGGAUGACGGCCCUCUGGGUUGUAAACUUCUUUUGUACGGGAAUAAACCCCUCUACGUGUAGAGGGUUGAAUGUACCGUAAGAAUAAGGAUCGGCUAACUUCGUGCCAGCAGCCGCGGUAAUACGAAGGAUCCAAGCGUUAUCCGGAUUUAUUGGGUUUAAAGGGUGCGUAGGCGGGCUAUUAAGUCAGUGGUGAAAGCCUGCAGCUUAACUGCAGAAUUGCCAUUGAUACUGAUGGUCUUGAGUACACUUGAGGUGGGCGGAAUGUGUCAUGUAGCGGUGAAAUGCUUAGAUAUGACACAGAACACCGAUUGCGAAGGCAGCUCACUAAAUUGUAACUGACGCUGAGGCACGAAAGCGUGGGGAUCAAACAGGAUUAGAAACCCCUGUAGUCC